rnacentral:rRNA from 5 species
AAACCAACAGGGAUUGCCUCAGUAACGGCGAGUGAAGCGGCAAAAGCUCAAAUUUGAAAUCUAGUACCUUCGGUGCUCGAGUUGUAAUUUGAAGAUGGCGACUUUGGGAGUGGCCUUUAUCUAUGUUCCUUGGAACAGGACGUCACAGAGGGUGAGAAUCCCGUCUGAUGAGGUGAUCCACUCCUUUGUAAAGUGCUAUCGAAGAGUCGAGUUGUUUGGGAAUGCAGCUCUAAGUGGGUGGUAAAUUCCAUCUAAAGCUAAAUAUUGGCGAGAGACCGAUAGCGAACAAGUACAGUGAUGGAAAGAUGAAAAGAACUUUGAAAAGAGAGUGAAAAAGUACGUGAAAUUGUUGAAAGGGAAGGGUAUUAGAUCAGACUUGGCGUUGUGUGAUUAUCUUCCCCUUGUGGGUUGUGCACUCGUGCUUCGCUGGGCCAGCAUCGAUUCGUGUGGCAGGAUAAUAGCAUUGGAACGUGGCUGCGCUUCUGUGUAGUGUUAUAGCCUUUGUUGAUACUGCCUAUGUGGAUCGAGGACUGCGUCUUUUUGACUAGGAUGCUGGCGUAAUGAUCUAAUAUCGC